AUUGAACGCUGGCGGCAGGCCUAACACAUGCAAGUCGAACGAGUGGCGGACGGGUGAGUAAUGUCUGGGAAACUGCCCGAUGGAGGGGGAUAACUACUGGAAACGGUAGCUAAUACCGCAUACCAUCGGAUGUGCCCAGAUGGGAUUAGCUAGUUGGUGGGGUAACGGCUCACCUAGGCGACGAUCCCUAGCUGCUCUGAGAGGAUGACGAGCCACACUGGAACUGAGACACGGGCCAGAGUCGUACGGGAGGCAGCAGUGGGGAAUAUUGCACAAUGGGCGCAAGCCUGAUGCAGCCAUGCGGCGUGUAUGAAGAAGGCCUUCGGGUUGUAAAGUACGUUAAGCGAGGAGGCGGUAAAGGAAGAAGAAGCACCGGCUAACUCCGUGCCAGCAGCCGCGGUAAUUG
rnacentral:rRNA from 1 species